rnacentral:rRNA from 1 species
UACGAAGGGUGCAAGCGUUACUCGGAAUUACUGGGCGUAAAGCGUGCGUAGGUGGUGAGUUAAGUCUGAUGUGGAAAUCCCCGGGCUCAACCUGGGAAUGGCAUUGGAUACUGGCUCGCUCGAGUGCGGUAGAGGGUGGUGGGAAUUCCCGGUGUAGCAGUGAAAUGCGUAGAGAUCGGGAGGAACAUCUGUGGCGAAGGCGGCCACCUGGACCAGCACUGGACACUGAGGCACGAAAGCGUGGGGAGCAAACAGG